rnacentral:tRNA from 1 species
GGAGAGGUGCCGGAGUGGUCGAACGGGGCGGUCUCGAAAACCGUUGUGCGCUUUGCGUACCCAGGGUUCGAAUCCCUGUCUCUCCGCCA